AUCAACGCUGGCGGCGUGCCUAACACAUGCAAGUCGAACGCGAAAGGGGCUUCGGCCCUGAGUAGAGUGGCAAACGGGUGAGUAACGCGUGGGUGACCUACCCUCGAGUGGGGGAUAACGUUCCGAAAGGGACGCUAAUACCGCAUGACAUCCUGCCUUUGGAUAGGCGGUGAUCAAAGCCGGGGAUCGCAAGACCUGGCGCUUGAGGAGGGGCCCGCGUCCGAUUAGCUAGUUGGUGGGGUAACGGCUCACCAAGGCUACGAUCGGUAGCCGGCCUGAGAGGGCGGACGGCCACACUGGGACUGAGACACGGCCCAGACUCCUACGGGAGGCAGCAGUGGGGAAUUGUUCGCAAUGGGCGCAAGCCUGACGACGCAACGCCGCGUGGAGGACGAAGAUCUUCGGGUCGUAAACUGCUUUUACAAGGGACGAAUUUGUGGCGGUACCUUGAGAAUAAGAGGUUGCUAACUCUGU
rnacentral:rRNA from 1 species